rnacentral:rRNA from 1 species
UACGGAGGAUCCAAGCGUUAUCCGGAUUUAUUGGGUUUAAAGGGUGCGUAGGCGGCCCUGUAAGUUAGAGGUGAAAGCCCGUGGCUCAACCACGGAAUUGCCUCUGAUACUGCAGGACUAGAGAGUAGUUGCUGUGGGCGGAAUGUGUAGUGUAGCGGUGAAAUGCUUAGAGAUCACACAGAAUAUCGAUUGCGAAGGCAGCUCACAAAGCCAAGAUUGACGCUGAGGCACGAAAGUGUGGGGAGCGAACAGGA